UCUAUGGCUGUUUAAAAGGGAAUUUGGUGAAAAUCCAAAGCAGUCCCCCGCUACUGUAACGUUCGGUUCUGUAAAGAAUUUAGGGAAUCUUCAUGCCACUGGUCUAUUCUGGGAAGGCAUCCUCAGAACGAAGUCAGGAAACCUGCCAAUAUAUGA
rnacentral:ncRNA from 1 species